AACAUUAGCAAUGGGUGGCUCCCAGCUGAUGACUCUGCAGCCAACCCAAAUGGCACCGUCGGAGGUGCGUCAGGCAGAAAUACCUGGUUCCUACCCUUGCUAACAAUUUCAUAGUUAAAUACUUAAUGUGUAAUGUCAAUUGUAUUCAUAAGUAUUUAUAGUAAACUACAAUAGUGGUAAACUAAAACAGCUGCUGAGCACAUUAAUUAUUCCUUGUCUAAGCAAACAAAUAAAUGGUUUUUAUUGCUUUAAUUAUAGUCUAAUAUCGACACAAGAAAUUAUCAAAUUCCUUCCUCAUUCUCGGAAAGGUCAGCUCUUUCAGAUUUACUGAGAGAAAGUGUUUCUGAGAAAUGAGACCAGUUCAGAUGCUGGACUAUAGAAACAAAAACUGAAAAAAAUCUCAAGGAGGGAAAAACCCUUUUAAGAGCAUAAAAACACAACAGCUGAACUCUAUCAUCCAUAACUUCAUUAAUAAGCCAUUUUGGAGGUGAAGACAGAAGAUCAAUACAAUGAAAACUUUUACAGCUGUGGUUGUUCUAGGCUGCCUGCUUGCUGUCGAGGUGACAAGCCAGGCUAGAGCUCCAAAGGGCAGGUGUUUCUGUGCUGACAAAGGUGUAAACAUGGUUCCUCCAAAACUGAUUGAGAAGGUUGAAAUCAUACCACCAAGCCCCUCUUGUGAAAACCAGGAGAUUGUGAGCCUGCAGAAGGAACCUUGAAAUAUGAAUGGAAGUGAAGUGAAGAACACAUGAUAUUAACACCAUGCAAUCAGUAACCAACAUCCUUAUGGCAAGAAUUAAACUGAAAAUUUUUAUAUAACUUUUUCCAUAUUAUUUUUAUGCUAUAUUUUAGAAUUCCUAAUGCAGUUUAAUGUUUCUUAAUGUAAAUCUUUAGCUGAUUAACAUGAUCAUUAAUCACUGCUGUGUGCAUUUUAAAAUAGUAAUGCAAAAACAUGAUUACAGUGUCAUAUUUUGCUAAAUAAAGCUUUUGUGACAUUACAGUAUGUUUAUGAUCAUUCUAUAGAGCAUAAAAUGUGAAAUAAAAAAAUAAGUAUUAAACAAUCA